AUAAUUAUUUCAUCCCCCCUUUCUCUUCUCUCUCUCUUUCUCCAUAACCGCCGCCCCUCCACCGCCGCCAAAUAUCGCCCACCGGCGGUGGACCACCUCCAAACCAUCUCAAAAUUUCACCAUGUAAUCUCCAACACCUCCUCUUUCCAUAUCUCCAAACCAAAUCCUUUAAAACCCCCUCAAACUCCUUGAAUCUUAGAUCUAGAAAAUUUUAACCGCCAUUUUUUUGCAAAAAUUCUUGAAGCUCCGGCCACUACCACCCCACAAUACCUACAUCAAUGGAUAGAGCUCCUCAAGACCUAGAUAUUGAUGCCAAUUUCACCCUGAAAAUUCGGCGACCAAAAUCCAACCAAAUUCUGGUGACCUCCCCGAAUACCCUCUUUUGGCAUACCACCAUUUUUUCGGCCACUUGAAUUGUAAUGGUAAAAAUCCUAUUAUUUUCGUGGUUGAUUUUUUUUUUUUUAUUUUUCAGAUUUUAUUUUGUCUAUUAUUAAUUAUUUUAGCUUUAGUUUUGAAGUUUGAAAUGUUAAAUUUUCUGUUUUUGCACUUGUUGAAGUAGUAAAAUAAUUUUUUAUUGAUAAAAGUGAGGUAGUGAAGAAUACUUAAGAGUAUAUGGUACUUGUUUGGUUGUUUAUUUAUUGCUUCAAAACUCUUUGAGUACAACACUCAAAAGUCAAAUUGUUUGGUAAGAAAAUGUAGACUUUUGGAUAGUGUUUGAAUAAAAGUCUGUCUUUGAAUAGUGGAGAGCAGAUUUUGUUUGAAAUAUUUGACAAGAUUUGAACCAGAAAGUCUUGAUUUUUGAAUUUUAGAGCAGAUUUUGUAGAAAAAUCUGUCAAAAAGAUUGAUUUUUAAUUUUUUGAAAUAGUUAGUUGUUUUGAUAUAAAAAGGAGGACAUUCCAUCUGACAGAGAGAGGUCUACACACACAAAAAGAGGAAAAAAUUAAUAGCUAUAAUAUCCCUUAGCAUCUGAAAAUUGUGAGCUUUUUGUGAGGUGAUUUUUAAAUGAAAAACUUGUUUAAGGAAAAUAGAGUAGUCUUGAAAGAUUUUUAUGGAGUUACAUAAUUGUACUGUUUUCCUGAGGUAUUUCUAGUUUAUUUUCUUGGGUUUGAAUCUGCCGGUUGUCGCUGUCUUUUGCUGUUGUUGCUGCCCGUUUAAUUAUUUUGCUGUUGAUUUUGGAAAGAGCUGACUCUGCUGUAUUUGUUCUUCUUUCUGCUAUCUAGGUAAUUUUCGGACCAUGUAAACUCAUAAAAUCGAGUUGGAAUGAAAGAUAAUAAUGGUGGGAAAUAUUAGUAGCUUCAUCCUUCUAUUGUAAUUCAUUUUUAUAUGUUAUUGAAUAUUUAAUAAUGUUAUAACGAUAUGUUAGUUAAUUAAAUAGUGUUAAGCAUCUUUAAUUAUUUUUAUUUUUAUUUUUGCUAAAACAUUAGAUAUAAUUCCACUGGGCAUUUGGUUGUCUGAAAUGAGCAUAUAUAUAAAAAUUUGAACCCGUGUAGCUAUGUUUGUCCCUUUGUUGUCACCAAGCUAAGUUGUUGUUGUUGUUGUUGUUGUUGUUGUUGUUGUUGUUGUUAUUAUUAUUAUUAUUAUUAUUAUUAUUAUUAUUAUAUUUUAAAGUCCCAAUAAUCUUUAUUUUAUCUCUUAAAAAAUACUUAUUUUAGUAAGGUAGUUAAGUUGUAGAUUAGAAAGACAAUCUGUAAACUUAUUUUUGUAAAUAGUUGGCUACGGAUUGCAAAUAGCAAGAUAGGUCCAAAUCUAUAACAUGACUUUAAAAGGCCAUAUCUGCAGAUUUAAAGUCCAAGAGCAUAUGAGCUUUUGGAUUUUGUCUUGGACAUGAGCCCGUUUGACUCCAUCAACCCAACAGUGGGCUGCCUCAUUCAAUAUCAAGACAAGCCCACAUCUUACUAGUUUUAAGCAAUGUCAAUUAAUAAUUUUCUCUCAAUAGUCUCAUCUUUUAAAUUAGUACUCAUAACAAUAAUUUUCUCUCAUUAGUUAAGUUGUAGAUUAUUAUUCAAAUCUUUUCUUUAUUUUUUUUAAAUAAAUAAAAGCGGACAUAAGAAAAGCAUAAAAAUCAAAUAAAUCACAGUUUAUCCAAGUUUAAUUCAAGCCAAAUGUAGUCAAUAAAGCGGCCGUGCUAGAACCACGGGACUCGGGGAAUGCCUUACACCUUCUCCCCGGUCAACAAAAUUCCUUACCCGGACUUUGUUUUCGCAGACCAAUAAUAAUAGAGUCAAACCUUCCCUUGAAUAGGGAUUCAAAUAAAAGGUGACUUGGAAUACCGAUAAAAAUCAAUUCCAAAUGGCGACUCUGUAAAUAAAAUAAUCCCUAUUUCAAAUUUGUCACUUUAAUUGGAAAAGCUCUUUAAACCACAAUCCAUAACAUUUUACACAUAUCUCUUGGAGGGGUAAAAAGGGGUGUGACAAUAAUUAUGCAAUGUAUUAUAAUUUUAAUACACCACACCAAACAGUAGAUAAGAAAUAAUAUCUGCAUAACUAAUGAUUGCAUUGCCAACCAAUGCAUUACUAAUACACCUUAUUCCGCACUAUUCUUAUACACCCUACCAAACGACUCCUUAUUGAGUACAUGAGAUCGGUUGUACUCAUACUACACUUCUGCAUCUUGUGCGCAGAUGUUGGAUGCUGAUGUUGUUGUGUAAGACGAGAGAUGGAUUUGAAGAUGUACCUGCGUUCCGGUCAUAGCUGCAUCUUGAUCUUUGUAGCUCUAGAAUUCUAAUCUGUUCAUGUAUAUUUCAAACAGAUGAUGUACUUUAUUUCAAACCAUCUUUGUAAAUUCUAAAUCUUAGUCGCUCAUGAUUUGUACUACCAGUCCUUAGAAAUUUCUUGUAUAAUUGUUCAGUUGUAUUAUUAUUUCUUCUCUUAAUAAAUAUCAUUUGAAC
rnacentral:lncRNA from 1 species